rnacentral:rRNA from 1 species
GACGAGCGCUGGCGGCGUGCUUAACACAUGCAAGUCGAACGGACUACUUUGCUUCGGUAAGGUGGUUAGUGGCGAACGGGUGAGUAACGCGUAGACAACCUACCUCUUAGAUGGGGACAACAUCGCGAAAGCGGUGCUAAUACCGAAUGAAGUGACUUUCCUGCAUGGGAGAGAUACUAAAGGUGGCCUCUAUUUAUAAGCUACCACUGAGAGAUGGGUCUGCGUCUGAUUGGCUAGUUGGCGGGGUAACGGCCCACCAAGGCGACGGUCAGGAGCCGGUCUGAGAGGAUGAACGGCCACAUUGGGACUGAGACGCGGCCCAAACUCCUACGGGAGGCAGCAGUGGGGAAUCUUCCGCAAUGGACGAAAGUCUGACGGAGCAACGCCGCGUGAGUGAAGAAGGUUUUCGGAUCGUAAAGCUCUGUUGUUUGAGACGAAUGUGCCUGUUUCGAAUAGGGAUAGGUAAUGACGGUAUUAAACGAGAAAGCCACGGCUAACUACGUGCCAGCAGCCGCCGUAA